ACAUUUUCGUGGGCUAUAGGCUUACCAUUUUUUCAGUGAAAUCAAAUUUUCAGAUCUGUGUUUAUUCAUGCCAUUCAUCGACGAGAGCUCGUGUAUUAGCAUGGGCAGUGAUGUAGGUGCCAAUCCAGCGAUUUAUCAAAAGGUGAGUGGACCCGGCUUUCAACAUUUUCGUGGGCUAUAGGCUUACCAUUUUUUCAGUGAAAUCAAAUUUUCAGAUCUGUGUUUAUUCAUACCAAUUAUCGACGAGAGCUCGUGUAUUAGCAUGGGCAGUGAUGUAUGUGCCAAUCCAGCGAUUUAUCAAAAGGUGAGUGGACCCGGCUUUCAACAUUUUCGUGGGCUAUAGGCUUAGCAUUUUUUCAGUGAAAUCAAAUUUUCAGAUCUGUGUUUAUUCAUGCCAUUCAUCGACGAGAGCUCGUGUAUUAGCAUGGGCAGUUAUGUAGGUGCCAAUCCAGCGAUUUAUCGAAAGGUGA